rnacentral:rRNA from 1 species
GUCUACGGCAUGCCACCCUGAAUAAGCCCGAUGUCUGACCUUGGAAGCUAAGCAGGGUCAGGCCUGGUUAGUGCUUGGAUGGGAGACCACCUAGGAAGACCAGGUGCUGGAGGCA